CUGCCUGUUCUCGAUAUAUUUUGAGAAACUGAAAACGUAUGUCAAAUUCAUAAGUUUAUAAAACAUACAAGCAAAAUUCCUUCUUGAUUAAGCAAAGGCUAUUAGCAGAACAUAUUAUGGCUUAUAGUUUAUAGGCCACCUAAACAUUAAAAAGUACGAUUUUUUCUGGGCGUAUUGCAAACCUCUGCUGCCACAUCACUGACAGUUCACUUCGUGCUCUUCCCUUGUUUCAUGGUGGGGAAGAAGCAUUAGCGUGUCUUAGCUGCGCUAAUGAGACUGGCCGAAGCGAGAACGUUUCCAUGAGCUGAACACUGCUUCGCCACUGAGAAAAAUACGGGCUGCUUAAAACGGCAGGAAUAAUGUGCUCAUUUCUCCCAAACACUCCAAUAACGUCACUCCCUCUCUGUCUUUUCUGGAGUUGACUGAGUUACUCGGUAAUCCUUAUUUUCCGUGGAAGCGAUGAUUGGCCGUGCGCGCACACGGCUCCUGCCCGUUUUCCACCUGCGUCGGUUUGAGCGUGCGAGAGGAUGACCGCGUAGACGGUUAUCCUGUUUCGAAUGGCUGCUUAUGGAUGUCGCUGCAGUCGCUGUGCAGAAAAGCUCGCCAGGUCAUGCAGUAGAGGCAGAAACUCUGGGGGUUUUCUAGACCAAGCUUGAUACGGCGCUGGAUGCUAUCUAGCUUGAAGAAAUCUUCCGCUCCGAGCCGCAUGCUGUUUCCCUCUCUCGCUGUGAGAGCCAUCCAUCCAUCUCUCCAUCCAUCUGUUUCCUCGUGCCACUCGGUCCAAGCGAGGGCGGCGGCGGCGGGGCACGCAGAGCGGCCCAGACGUCCCUCUCCACCGGGGGGUCCCCAGGGGGGGAGGCUUGCCGGAUGUCUGAGCCACCCCCCAAAUGACCCACGGCGUGAGCAGCCAUUUUUAUUAACCUUGUGUCACACACACACACAAACACACGCACACAAACAUGCACACACACGCACACAAACACACACCCACAUACAUGCACACACACACACACAAACACACACCCACACACACACCCACAAACAUGCACACACACCCACAGACAUGCACACACGCGCACACACACUCAUUCACACACCCACAUACACACGCACACACACACACUCACACACACACACACACACACCCACAAGCAUGCACACACACCCACACACCCACAGACACACACACACACACACACACACUCACCCACCUGAGCACACACACACACCAGGAGGUCUGUCCUUCUUCACAUUCUGGCGGGAAGGCGGUGGCUCUGCAGAUCUCUCAGGAGACCUGCCAGCAGAAAGCCGCCUUACCGCCAACCUCCCCCCAACCUUACCGCCAACCCCCCCCCCCCCACUGCCAUCUAUGCAUUCUUAUAAAUCUGUAUUUUAUUCAUCUCUGUAUUUUACUGAAGUGUCAAUGUGCAGUGCUUUCAUCUUUUUGUUUCCUUAUAUGAAAGGUGCUCUACAUAUCAAGCUGGCUAUUAUAUAAUAAUAAUAAUAAUAAUAAUAAUAAGUAGAAGAAGGAGUAUUAUUAUUAAUAGUAGUAGUAGUCAUAGUAGUAAUAGUAUCAGCAGUAGUAGUAGUAGUAGUAGUAGUAGCAGUAGCAGUAGUAUUUACUAUAGAUGCCAGUAAUUUACUGGUCAGCUGUGAAGUCGUCCAGUGUAGGAGAUACAGCUUAACUCGCAAUUCAAAAGUGUCAAGAAUUCGCCUCAUUGAGGUUAGAUUGAAUCUGGCUUUCUCGGCUAUGAGCGGCUUUUGUUUGCGUGUGUCAUCGUCAUCGCAGUGUUCGUCUCGCUGGCUGGAGCGGUGAGUCACGGUCCCGCUUCGUGCCAAUUUAAAUGGACGGGAGCGCGUCUCCUUCGAGGGGCGAAGUUCGAAUUCGCGCCGUGCGUGCGCUCUUACCGACGGCGGAAAACGUUUUCGGCGCGGCGACGGUCCCGAGGGGCUCCUCACGGCGUUCCGUCCAGUAAUUGGGUUUGAAAGUGAAGCGGCUAUUGCACCGCCGAGACGGGAACACGAAAAAAUAAAUAAAAAAUAAAUAAAUAAAUUAAAAAACUCGGGGAGCCAACGUACCAAUUUCGCCCGCCACAGAACGAAGCGAUCGCUGUGUGUGAGGUCGCAGUAACCAGCCGCGAAUCCUUACAUCGCUCCGCUAAAGAGGCCGGUAUCUUUCCAAUUACAGUCUGAGUACCACGUUCGAUCUGAGAUUCUUCUUCUUCUUCUUUUUACCGUACCACUGAGUCGAUGUCAGUCACUUUGCGACGCUGGUGCAGCAGCUGCCUUUAUUUGAACCACACUGCUGCUUUUUUUUUCUCAUGGAACGCUAACUGCACUUUGCUUUAGAAAUGUGUGGAGAAAAAAAGACAAUAGAUCGCGGUGAAAUGUCACGUUCUUAUCGGCUAUCUCAGCUGGUUAUCAGGUACUGCUUCAGGAAAACAACAGAAGAAAAUUCCGGACACAGUUUCUGAAAGCAAACUCUUUAGUUAACUGAAAGUUUAUUCAUAAACUCUUUAGUUUAUUCAUUUCAGUCGCAAUGAUUAUCAGGUUGGUACUGUUUACAGCUUUUCACAUGAAAAAUAUGAGUUUGUCAGGUGCUACAGUCGGCAGAUAUUUAUUCUGAAUGGAGUUGCCUGAUUUAUUAUAAAUGGGCCUUCGGUGCCAUCUGGAUGAUCUUGUAUUGCUGUUGUAUUCCUGACACUCAUUUCUUCCCGCUUGUGUCAGUUUCUCUGGAUAAGGGGGAAUGUGACGUAAUGUGCAACGCAUUAAAAGGGAAAAACAAAACAACGAAGCUCGCUUAAACCCUUUACUUGGAAUGAGGAGUGAUGGAAGGCUGCGUGCUUCGCUUCUGUGAAACGGGCGAAUUCGAACCCCCCCCCCCCGUUUGUGUGUAGAUUCCAGAAAGGAGUGCCUGUGUCCCGCCCCCAAAAACCUGUGUCUCCAACUGAUUUAUGUUCAUGCUAUUAAAUAUUACUG